GGUUUUGGUUGGUUACCAGGGAUGCGGUUUGGUUGCCUUCCACUGGCUCCUGGUAGGGUAGUGGGAGGAGCAUCCUCCCUUUCCUCCCCCUGCUGAAGCGUGUGUGAAUGUGAGGACUGUUCCUUGCUCAUUUUUUGAGUAGCUGCAGGUAUCAGCAUCUGCCUGUGUGAGUGUGUGUGUGUGUGUGUGUGUGUGUGUGUGUGUGUGUGUGUGUGUGUGUGUGUGUGUGUGUGAGAGAGAGUGUAUGAUAGAGAAAGAGUAAGAGAGAGAGGCAAGCAGGGCCUCACCCCCCACCCCAGCUUUCCUGUCUCCUUCCUCCCUGUCCCUCAUUUCUUUCUCUCUUCCUGGACCACCCAUCUAUAACCGGACCCCCCUGGACCACCCUGGACUCUCUGCCCAAAGGCCUUUUGAUGCUCUGUCCCACCCUGAAGGUUGAACAGAAGAAAUCACCUUUUGAACCUCCCAUCUCAGACAGGAAGCCUCAGCCAUAA
rnacentral:lncRNA from 1 species